AACGCUAGCUACAGGCUUAACACAUGCAAGUCGAGGGGAAACGAUAUUGGAAGCUUGCUUCCGAUAGGCGUCGACCGGCGCACGGGUGAGUAACGCGUAUCCAACCUGCCCACCACUUGGGGAUAACCUUGCGAAAGUAAGACUAAUACCCAAUGAUAUCUCUAGAAGACAUCUGAAAGAGAUUAAAGAUUUAUCGGUGAUGGAUGGGGAUGCGUCUGAUUAGCUUGUUGGCGGGGUAACGGCCCACCAAGGCAACGAUCAGUAGGGGUUCUGAGAGGAAGGUCCCCCACAUUGGAACUGAGACACGGUCCAAACUCCUACGGGAGGCAGCAGUGAGGAAUAUUGGUCAAUGGACGAGAGUCUGAACCAGCCAAGUAGCGUGCAGGAAGACGGCCCUAUGGGUUGUAAACUGCUUUUAUAAGGGAAUAAAGUGAGAGUCGUGACUCUUUUUGCAUGUACCUUAUGAAUAAGGACCGGCUAAUUCCGUGCCAGCAGCCGCGGUAAUACGGAAGGUCCGGGCGUUAUCCGGAUUUAUUGGGUUUAAAGGGAGCGUAGGCCGGAGAUUAAGCGUGUUGUGAAAUGUAGAUGCUCAACAUCUGCACUGCAGCGCGAACUGGUUUCCUUGAGUACGCACAAAGUGGGCGGAAUUCGUGGUGUAGCGGUGAAAUGCUUAGAUAUCACGAAGAACUCCGAUUG
rnacentral:rRNA from 1 species